GAAGAACGCUGGCGGCGUGCUUAACACAUGCAAGUCGAACGGAAAGGCCCUGCUUUUGUGGGGUGCUCGAGUGGCGAACGGGUGAGUAACACGUGAGUAACCUGCCCUUGACUUUGGGAUAACUUCAGGAAACUGGGGCUAAUACCGGAUAGGAGCUCCUGCUGCAUGGCGGGGGUUGGAAAGUUUCGGCGGUUGGGGAUGGACUCGCGGCUUAUCAGCUUGUUGGUGGGGUAGUGGCUUACCAAGGCUUUGACGGGUAGCCGGCCUGAGAGGGUGACCGGCCACAUUGGGACUGAGAUACGGCCCAGACUCCUACGGGAGGCAGCAGUGGGGAAUAUUGCACAAUGGGCGGAAGCCUGAUGCAGCAACGCCGCGUGCGGGAUGACGGCCUUCGGGUUGUAAACCGCUUUCGCCUGUGACGAAGCGUGAGUGACGGUAAUGGGUAAAGAAGCACCGGCUAACUACGUG
rnacentral:rRNA from 1 species